rnacentral:rRNA from 1 species
CAUGCAGUCGAGCGGCAGCGACACAUUGACCCUUCGGGGGAUUUGUUGGGCGGCGAGCGGCGGACGGGUGAGUAAUGCCUGGGAACAUGCCUUAGUGUGGGGGAUAACCAUUGGAAACGAUGGCUAAUACCGCAUAAUCUCUACGGAGCAAAGAGGGGGACCUUCGGGCCUCUCGCGCUAAGAUUGGCCCAGGUGGGAUUAGCUAGUAGGUGGGGUAACGGCUCACCUAGGCGACGAUCCCUAGCUGGUCUGAGAGGAUGAUCAGCCACACUGGAACUGAGACACGGUCCAGACUCCUACGGGAGGCAGCAGUGGGGAAUAUUGCACAAUGGGGGAAACCCUGAUGCAGCCAUGCCGCGUGUGUGAAGAAGGCCUUCGGGUUGUAAAGCACUUUCAGCAGUGAGGAAGGCGGUAUCGUUAACAGCGGUAUUGUUUGACGUUAGCUGCAGAAGAAGCACCGGCUAACUCCGUGCCAGCAGCCGCGGUAAUACGGAGGGUGCGAGCGUUAAUCGGAAUUACUGGGCGUAAAGCGCAUGCAGGCGGCUUGUUAAGCCAGAUGUGAAAGCCCGGGGCUCAACCUCGGAAUCGCAUUUGGAACUGGUAGGCUAGAGUCUUGUAGAGGGGGGUAGAAUUUCAGGUGUAGCGGGUGAAAUGCGUAGAGAUCUGAAGGAAUACCGGGUGGCGAAGGCGGCCCUGGACAAAGACUGACGCUCAGAUGCGAAAGCGGUGGGGAGCAAACAGGAUUGGAUACCCUGGUAGUCACGCGUAACGAUGUCUACUUGAGGUUGGUGUUCUUGAACACUGGCUUUCGGAGCCUAACGCGG